CCUACGGGAGGCAGCAGUGAGGAAUAUUGGUCAAUGGGCGCGAGCCUGAACCAGCCAAGUAGCGUGAAGGAUGACUGCCCUACGGGUUGUAAACUUCUUUUAUAAAGGAAUAAAGUGAGGCACGUGUGCCUUUUUGUAUGUACUUUAUGAAUAAGGAUCGGCUAACUCCGUGCCAGCAGCCGCGGUAAUACGGAGGGUCCGAGCGUUAUCCGGAUUUAUUGGGUUUAACGGGAGCGUAGGCGGCCUGUUAAGUCAGCGGUGAAAGUCUGUGGCUCAACCAUAGAAUUGCCGUUGAAACUGGGGGGCUUGAGUAUGUUUGAGGCAGGCGGAAUGCGUGGUGUAGCGGUGAAAUGCUUAGAUAGCACGCAGAACCCCGAUUGCGAAGGCAGCCUGCCAAGCCAUGACUGACGCUGAUGCACGAAAGCGUGGGGAUCAAACAGGAUUAGAUACCCCUGUAGUC
rnacentral:rRNA from 1 species